rnacentral:rRNA from 1 species
ACCAAAGCAUUCUCUGGUGUUGAAGGCCCUGCAAAGCAGCAUCGCGGUGGCGGAGCGUCGUUUGCGACGCCCAACACACAAAACAAGCGGUGAGUGCUUUGGGGUGGGGUGACUGCGUACCUUUUGUAUAAUGGGUCAGCGACUUAUAUUCUGUAGCAAGGUUAACCGUAUAGGGGAGCCGAAGGGAAACCGAGUCUUAACUGGGCGUUAAGUUGCAGGGUAUAGACCCGAAACCCGGUGAUCUAGCCAUGGGCAGGUUGAAGGUUGGGUAACACUAACUGGAGGACCGAACCGACUAAUGUUGAAAAAUUAGCGGAUGACUUGUGGCUGGGGGUGAAAGGCCAAUCAAACCGGGAGAUAGCUGGUUCUCCCCGAAAGCUAUUUAGGUAGCGCCUCGUGAACUCAUCUUCGGGGGUAGAGCACUGUUUCGGCUAGGGGGUCAUCCCGACUUACCAACCCGAUGCAAACUGCGAAUACCGAAGAAUGUUAUCACGGGAGACACACGGCGGGUGCUAACGUCCGUCGUGAAGAGGGAAACAACCCAGACCGCCAGCUAAGGUCCCAAAGUCACAGUUAAGUGGGAAACGAUGUGGGAAGGCUCAGACAGCCAGGAUGUUGGCUUAGAAGCAGCCAUCAUUUAAAGAAAGCGUAAUAGCUCACUGGUCGAGUCGGCCUGCGCGGAAGAUGUAACGGGGCUAAACUGUGCACCGAAGCUGCGGCAGCGACGCUUAUGCGUUGUUGGGUAGGGGAGCGUUCUGUAAGCCUGCGAAGGUGUCCUGUGAGGGAUGCUGGAGGUAUCAGAAGUGCGAAUGCUGACAUAAGUAACGAUAA